CCUACGGGAGGCAGCAGUGAGGAAUAUUGGUCAAUGGACGAGAGUCUGAACCAGCCAAGUAGCGUGAAGGAUGACUGCCCUAUGGGUUGUAAACUUCUUUUAUAUGGGAAUAAAAUGUUCCAUGUGUGGGAUUUUGUAUGUACCAUAUGAAUAAGGAUCGGCUAACUCCGUGCCAGCAGCCGCGGUAAUACGGAGGUUCCGAGCGUUAUCCGGAUUUAUUGGGUUUAAAGGGAGCGUAGGUGGAUUGUUAAGUCAGUUGUGAAAGUUUGCGGCUCAACCGUAAAAUUGCAGUUGAAACUGGCAGUCUUGAGUACAGUAGAGGUGGGCGGAAUUCGUGGUGUAGCGGUGAAAUGCUUAGAUAUCACGAAGAACUCCGAUUGCGAAGGCAGUUCACUGGACUGCAACUGACACUGAGGCUCGAAAGUGUGGGUAUCAAACAGGAUUAGAUACCCUAGUAGUC
rnacentral:rRNA from 1 species